CACGUAGGGCGCAAGCGUUGUCCGGAAUUAUUGGGCGUAAAGAGCUCGUAGGCGGUCUGUUACGUCUGCUGUGAAAACCCGGGGGCUUAACCCUGGGCUUGCAGUGGAUACGGGGCAGACUAGAGGCAGGUAGGGGGAGAAUGGAAUUCCCGGUGUAGCGGUGAAAUGCGCAGAUAUCGGGGAGGAACACCGGUGGCGAAGGCGGUUCUCUGGGCCUGACCUGACGCUGAGGAGCGAAAAGCGUGGGGGGAGCGAAACAGG
rnacentral:rRNA from 1 species